rnacentral:rRNA from 1 species
UAGUGUAUAUCUAUUAAUAUACACACUAUAUAGUAAAUAGUGGCGAACGGGUGAGUAACACAUGGGCAAUCUGCCCUGCACUCUGGGACAAACCCUGGAAACGGGGUCUAAUACCGGAUGAUAUCCCCUCUCGCAUGGGAAGGGGUUGAAAGCUCCGGCGGUGCAGGAUGAGCCCGCGGCCUAUCAGCUAGUUGGUGAGGUAGAAGCUCACCAAGGCGACGACGGGUAGCCGGCCUGAGAGGGCGACCGGCCACACUGGGACUGAGACACGGCCCAGACUCCUACGGGAGGCAGCAGUGGGGAAUAUUGCACAAUGGGCGAAAGCCUGAUGCAGCGACGCCGCGUGAGGGAUGACGGCCUUCGGGUUGUAAACCUCUUUCAGCAGGGAAGAAGCGAAAGUGACGGUACCUGCAGAAGAAGCGCCGGCUAACUACGUGCCAGCAGCCGCGGUAAUACGUAGGGCGCAAGCGUUGUCCGGAAUUAUUGGGCGUAAAGAACUCGUAAGCGGCUUGUCACGUCCGUUGUGAAAACCCCGGGGCUUAACCCCCGGGUCUGCAGUCGAUACGGGGAGGCUAGAGUGUGGUAGGGGAGAUCGGAAUUCCUGGUGGUAGCGGGUGAAAUGCGCAGAUAUCCGGAGGAACACCGGUGGCGAAAGCGGAUCUCUGGGCCAUUACUGACGCUGAGGAGCGAAAGCGUGGGGGAGCGAACAGGAUUAGAUACCCUGGUAGUCCACGCCGUAAACGGUGGGAACUAAGGUGUUGGCGACAUUCCACGUCGUCGGUGCCGCAGCUAACGCAUUAAGUUCCCCGCCUGGGGGAGUACGGCCGCAAGGCUAAAACUCAAAGGAAAUUGACGGGGGGCCCGCACAAGCAGCGGAGCAUGUGGGCUUAAUUCGACGCAACGCGAAGAACCUUACCAAGGCUUGACAUCGCCCCGGAAAGCCGUAGAAGAUACGGCCCCCCUUGUGGUCGGGUGACAGGUGGUGCAUGGGCUGUCGUCAGCUCGUGUCGUGAAAAUGUUGGGGUUAAGUCCCGCAACGAGCGCAACCCUUGUUCUGUGUUGCCAGCAUGCCCUUUCGGGGGUGAUGGGGGACUCACAGGAAAACUGCCGGGGGUCAACUCCGGAAGGAAAGGGGGGGGACGAACGUCAAGUCAUCCUGCCCCCUUAUUGUUCUUGGGGCUGGCACCCUGGGUUACAAUGGGCGGGGGUCAAUGGAGAUUGGCGAAACCCCCAAGGGGGGGGGGAAAUUC